rnacentral:rRNA from 1 species
UUAGCUUGCUAAGGCUGAUGGCGACCGGCGCACGGGUGAGUAACACGUAUCCAACCUGCCGUCUACUCUUGGCCAGCCUUCUGAAAGGAAGAUUAAUCCAGGAUGGGAUCAUGAGUUCACAUGUCCGCAUGAUUAAAGGUAUUUUCCGGUAGACGAUGGGGAUGCGUUCCAUUAGAUAGUAGGCGGGGUAACGGCCCACCUAGUCAACGAUGGAUAGGGGUUCUGAGAGGAAGGUCCCCCACAUUGGAACUGAGACACGGUCCAAACUCCUACGGGAGGCAGCAGUGAGGAAUAUUGGUCAAUGGGCGAUGGCCUGAACCAGCCAAGUAGCGUGAAGGAUGACUGCCCUAUGGGUUGUAAACUUCUUUUAUAAAGGAAUAAAGUCGGGUAUGCAUACCCGUUUGCAUGUACUUUAUGAAUAAGGAUCGGCUAACUCCGUGCCAGCAGCCGCGGUAAUACGGAGGAUCCGAGCGUUAUCCGGAUUUAUUGGGUUUAAAGGGAGCGUAGAUGGAUGUUUAAGUCAGUUGUGAAAGUUUGCGGCUCAACCGUAAAAUUGCAGUUGAUACUGGAUGUCUUGAGUGCAGUUGAGGCAGGCGGAAUUCGUGGUGUAGCGGUGAAAUGCUUAGAUAUCACGAAGAACUCCGAUUGCGAAGGCAGCCUGCUAAGCUGCA